GGUGCCUUGGAGAAGUGGAAACUCACUCCCUUUGGGUAACUUUGAGGUGCAAACUGGGAGAGAUCACGGGUUCGAACCCCGUAGGUGCCC